CAGUCGCCGCGGUAAUACGAAGGGUGCAAGCGUUAAUCGGAAUUACUGGGCGUAAAGCGUGCGCAGGCGGUUUGUUAAGACAGAUGUGAAAUCCCCGGGCUCAACCUGGGAACUGCAUUUGUGACUGGCAAGCUAGAGUGUGGCAGAGGGGGGUGGAAUUCCGCGUGUAGCAGUGAAAUGCGUAGAUAUGCGGAGGAACACCGAUGGCGAAGGCAGCCCCCUGGGCCAACACUGACGCUCAUGCACGAAAGCGUGGGGAGCAAACAGGAUUAGAUACCCCCGUAGUCCCUGUCUCUUAUAC
rnacentral:rRNA from 1 species